rnacentral:rRNA from 1 species
GGUUGACCUCGGAUCAGUAGUGGUUGACCUCGGAUCAGGUAGGAAUACCCGCUGAACUUAAGCAUAU